UACAGAGGGUGCGAGCGUUAAUCGGAAUUACUGGGCGUAAAGCGUGCGUAGACGGUAGCGUAAGUCAGAUGUGAAAGCCCCGGGCUCAACCUGGGAAUUGCAUUUGAGACUGCUCUGCUCGGGUGCGGAAGAGGGAAGCGGAAUUUCCGGUGUAGCGGUGAAACGCGUAGAUAUCGGAAGGAACACCAGUGGCGAAAGCGGCUUCCUGGUCCGACACCGACGUUCAGGCACGAAAGCGUGGGGAGCAAACAGG
rnacentral:rRNA from 1 species